GCGCUGUGAUUUACACUGCGUGGCACUGGGAAGUGUCCUCGACUUUGAAAGGCCUUGGUCCCCGGGCACUUGGUUGCUGCCUUCCCCACGGAAAUCCAACUCCAAUGGUCCCUCCAUGACAAUUAUGAGGUCCCCAUUACCUUGGCUCCAUCCAACUGGAGAUAAUUAAAAACAGCUCAAAGCACACGCCAGAAGGUAUCGGGCAUUUUAUUAAUAAAUGGAGAAGUGAGGAAAUGAUAUGUUCCGUUAACGGUUUCAACUAUAAGAUGCUCUUACGGUCCUUUCUUGCUUUUUUUCUCCCUAUCCUGUGUUUGGGGGCAGCCAGGCAUUCUGCGCUCAGAGAUCAGAAGAAGCAAGGAGGGGUUAUUUCACCUUUGUUAAACUCCAGCUGAAGCCGUGGCUCUAAGGUCAUCAGGAACCACAUUCCUCCCCUUGGAGAAAAUGCUUCCAAGGGAGGGAGAGGCUUUAAAAGUAUGUGGGCACCAGCUUUGCCACAAUACAUCAUGCAAGGCUGCUCUGACCUUGACCAGAGGCGCUGAACAUACCCACAGAGCCCAACAUGGGCCUGGCAGGGAGGCAUAUCAGCCCUGAUCAAAGCUGCUAUGGAGGAGUUCCCGUGGUGGCUCAGCAGCAACAACUAGUAUCCAUGAGGAUUCGGGUUCCAUCCCUGGCCUCACUCACUGGGUUAAGGAUCCAGCGUUGCCAUGAGCUGGGUCGUAGGUUGCAGACAUGGCUUGGAUCUCACGUUGCUAUGGCUGUGGUGUCAGCUGGCAGUUGCAGCCCCGAUUCAACCACUAGCCCGGGAACUUCCAUAUGCCACAGAAGCGGCUCUAAAAAGACAAAACAAAAACCAAAAGACUGCUAUGGAUAUGCUCAAAAGAGCGAUCUUACGAGAAAGAGCCUGGAGCCAAAGGAGGAUGAGGACAGUUUGUUUUCAGUGCAGCUGUUACUUUUGCUUCUGUUUCCUCCCUCCUGUUGUGGGCACCUCCCAGGAACCAAGGUGUGGGACUUCAAGGCCCCUUCAAGAUGCUUUACAAGAAUGUGAGCACCGUGUUUUUAGAAUGCAAAGCCUCUGGCCAGGACAAGAAUGACCAGACCCUUAUCAUCAUCCCACCCGUCCCCCUGUAUUGCCCGCUCCCCACCUUGCGCAACCUGGCUACUCCUUCCUGUGCCCUACUAGGAAAGGUAUGUGGCCCACUCCUCACCCCGCCCCAUAGGGGCCUUAUACGCCCCCAACCAACAAGCAAGUGUAUCUUAAGACCCCUUUCCCCAACCAAUCAGCAGGUCAGCAGAUGUAUCCUGAGACAUCUCCUCUCCUUGGGCUACAAACACAGAGACCAUCACACUAGCAGCAUCUCCUAUGUCAAUAAACUCUUCUUUCUGUUCACCUGGCUAUGUCUGGAAAAUUCUUUUUCCAACCCACGUGCACAGACCGUGACAACCUUGUUCAGCCAUGAUUAGCGCCCACACAGCCCCAAAGGUACCUGUGCUCUGCUCCAACCUCCCCCUCCCCAGGUAAGUAAAUUAACUCUUGUGCAAGCGUCAGCAGCCAGGAGUGGCUUAUGUGCAACCCUCCAGGUAAAACUGGCAUCUUUUCAGAGAUUCAAAUGCUUCGCACCGGGAAUGGCAGGUGCUCGAUGCCUACACCCCUUCUGUGCUCAGUGCAGACAUUCCAAAUGGAUCACGGGGUUCGAUCCUUUGGACGCCAGACAGCACUUCAGAGUCCUUCUUAGCAUUUCUGGCAGUCGAGGCAGGCUUUGGAUGUGGCACACAGGAGGAAAACUGGCUAUCAUUCCUGCCUUAAUCUGAAGGCAUCAUGAGAGACUGUAGAUGGAUAAUUAUGGCAACUCAACGUGCCUCUGAUUGCAACCAAGAGGCAAGUCCCUAGAGAGUUUGUGUGUAAAAGAGUUGGGGGUCCGAAUGCCAGCCUGAGUGCUCUGCCAUCGACCGGCUGUGUGACCUUCGGCAUACUUUUCAGCCUCUCUGUGCUUUGCUUUCUGAUCAGUAAAAUCACAAUGCCUCUUUCACAGUGUUUCUGAGUGGGUGGAAGUUCUUGUAAGUAGCUUUGAUAGCCCCAGCGUUAGUUGUAAUCGUUCUGGGCCACUAUUUCUCAAGUCAGAGCACAUAGGUAGCUCCCCUAAGGCACCUACAGAGAGGCUGUGACUUUUAAGAACCUAGGCUAAAGAGGAUCAGUGGCCUCACUGGCUACAUUAAGCAAAGAUAAGAUUGCAGGUGGGCUUGUAAUUUUGUUUACAGCGUGAGACUAGAAAACACUCCUUUGGUGCCCAGUUACUUUUGAAGAGGUAAGAUAUUUUUCGGUACAUUGUUUUUGGUUUGCCAAGCCCGGAGAAGGAAGGGAGUAACACUGCUAUUUAUUAACAGUCAGUACUGGUCAGACGUAACAAGAUUCCAAGCACAAACUGAACUCAUCCAGACAUCUCUGGAGCCUUCCAUCUCACUGCAGGAGCUACAAAAAGCAGGGGCACCCAUGACCCACGCCCUCACUCUGGUUUAUAAGAUCCGCCCUGAUGACAGGCAGUGCCCCAAAGUCUCAGCCAACAGGAAAAUGAGCAGUGAAAUUCACACUGGUCUGUAUUCACAAUGCAGCAGGCAAAAUCAGCACCGCAGUUUUCUGCAGUUUCCAAAACUAUUUUUGGAAAUUACUGCAGCAAAGCUCUCACCAAGUUCAAGGAAACAGAACAGCAUAGAAAUCAGGCUUGGUUUGUUUUUGUUUUUGUUUUUGUUUUUGUUUUCCAAAUGUAGGUGAGGACGAGGGUAGCUGACAGAGGAACAAUGAUGGAUUAACUGCACAUCUGCUUUGGAUCCAGAAAUAUAAUCGGUUGGAGCCUGCCUGGCCUCCGUUAUUUAUCAGCUUUGUACAAAAAUAAAAUAAAAAUGGAACCUCUUCAAUACAGAACUGCCAAGGACGAACUUUAAAUGAAUGAACUCUCAGUGUACAAGAGCAACAUUUCUGGGGAAAAAAGAAACUGAACAGGAUAAACCACUAAAGUUGUUAAUAAAGCUGUUUUUGCGUGUGUAAAACAGUCCGAAGUCUUUUUAAGUAGCGAAAAGGUCCUGGCUUCGAUAAAUGGGGUAGAAUUAUUAAGAGAACAACUUUUAAGAAUGUUGCAAGCUGACUCAUUUUUCAAGGUCUCCGCAUCGUUGCUUGAUAAGAAUAUUGGGAAGCACCCACACAUUCUCCAAUACGGGUGAGUUUCUAAUUUAUGCAUUGCAGAUAUAAGACUCGAACCCGUAUCUGUGAGCUGGUAGUUAAGAUCUUUGACAAAAGGUAGCUGACAACAUAGUUAAUGCUCUUACUUAAGCAAUUACACACUAGAUUAAGGACUUCAACAGGAAGGUGUCUUUUACACUGUAUUUUAUGGUUAAACGGUGCAUUUCAGGAUGACAACAAGCUGUAAUCGCAUAUUCAUGUAAUUUUAGGAUGAAAUCAAUUUCUUGCAAACACAAUUAUUGUUACAUAAUUCUCCCACCUGUUUAUGACUCCCUGUGAAUUAAACUAAGACGCAAUUUCACAUUAAUUUAAAAUGUCAUUUGGAAAGAAGACAUUUCCUAUAAAGCUGAACACUGAUAACGAUCUCGAGAAAUCAGUGUUAUUGACAAGAAACCAUAAAUCUGUUCAAUAGUCACUGUCUGUAAUCAGAUUUAAGGGGCUAUGUGCCACCUUCUGUGCUCAAUGUUGCCAGGUUUUUAGAGGUCCGAAGUUGUUUGGAGAAGAAUAAGUUUUUCUAGUAGUUCUGUAAGCUGAAAUGCCAGAGCUAGCAGAGAAAAAUAUACCAGAUUCCUAAUGGAAUAUGAAUUUUGGGUAGAUAAUGAUUAAUGUUUUUAGCAUAGAAUUAAAUAACUUUUAGUAUAAGUAUGCCUCAAAUAUUGCAUGGCACAUGUUGUCCUAAAAGAGACAGAAAUAAGGACUAAUUAUUUCCUACUGAAUAAAAUAAUAAUUUAGUAUAAGUAUGCCUCACGCAAUAUUCGGGACAGACAUAUUUUUGAAAUGAUCCAUUGUGCAUCGGAAGUUCCAACUGCACUCAGUCUCCUGUAUUUUCACUUGCAAAAUCUGGCAACCCUCUCCGUGAGCCUCCAUCAGAGUGAGGUGGCAAAGGCAGAGCUGAUCUCGUUAUUCUUUGGCACCUGCACAUCUGGCCCCGAAUCCAGUUGUCACCUAGCACACCUGGAGAUGCGAGUAGGUAAAUCCGGAGCUGAAAGGUAAGCUCAGCCAAAGUAAGAUCUAGCUGAUUGAUUAUAUAAAUCCGAUGCCCAAAGACAGUUUUCCCUCCAGGGAUCAGACCAAACUGGUCAAGUCAGGUUCAUGUGCCAUGAAGAGACGUGAAUUUCUUUUCAGUUCCACAUAUGAAGGUUGAUAAACUUCCUCUCUCUUUUCUUCCUUCCUCCCUCUCUCCUUUCCUCUUCCCUUCCUCCCGGCACCGCACUAAACUUAUCACUCAUUUUCAGUGAACAGUAAACAUCAUAAUCGUACAAUUCAGAGGCAUCUGCAUUUACUGAGUCAAACAUGACAUGAAGGGCAACGUGGUUUAUCCUCACAGUAAUUCUGGAAACUAGGAAUUAUUUUCCUCCCUCAUUUUAUAUGGAGAAAGCGGAGGUGCAGAAGCAUCACACCGCUUGUGAGGGAGGCAGCACCCAUGUCCGCCGGCUCUCUAUGCAGGUACCAUGGACACGCACCGAGUGGGGAAGAAGGAGGGCAAACACUCAGAGGGAUAUUUCUUGCCCUGGCUGAGCUCAGAGAUGAGGGGAGGAAAGAGAGCUGCUUCGAAAAACCACUUUUCCUGCAGACCAGAGUUGUGAUCACCAUGCAAGUGGCAUCGUGAAUGUGAAUAAGAGCCAGAGAGGAGGCGGACACAAAGAGCCAUCUGAGUGAUCUGGCCAUUUAUAAUGAUGAUGGAUCUGUGUUCUUAAUAAAGUGGAGAGAUAUUCAUGCCACGUUAAGGACAUGGAAAGAAUGCAGAUGAUGAAACAGGUGAGGGGACCAGGCUUGGUGGAACCCGGCAGGACUGCAGAGCUGGGGGGCAGGGCAGAGCUGGGAUCCAAGGCCAGGCCCUCCUGACUCUGACUCCACGCUCUCCACCACGGUGUCCCCCGCCUCCCCCGAGAACACAAAGCGCAGAUGAACCUGUGACACCGCAGCAGGCUGGCUCCUCUGGUACCCGUUGAGCAGAAAUGUGUCUUUCAAGGAUCAAAGGGCUUUCACUCGGGCCCCCAAAGAGCCACCAACCACUUGAAGGGGAUGAGGGAGUUUAUGGGGAUCAAACCUCCAAACUCAGUCCAGCUCAGUCACAGAAGACACAAUGCUAUGAUCAUGGUGAUUAGAGAAACAUUCUCAAGAGAAGGGGCCCCAGAACUGAACACAAUGCACUCAAUGAAUGCUUAGCGAAAACGGCUGGUAAAAAUGCUAGGGCUAGAGAAGGACAGCGGUCUUCUUUGCUGUCUGAUAAUCUGCAAGUGCAUCCAAAUGCAAGUCCCUUGACUUCCACUCCAAUUCACGGCCCCAUGCUGGGGUGCGCUGGCUGGCAUAAACCCAAGUUUACCACUGGAAGACUGCUGAUGCACUGGGAAAGAGAUCCAGGCAAUUCUUGCCUCCACCUUUAAAAACAGAGCUGGAGUGCCGCUCCACACCACCCUUGAAAGCACCUUAGACAACCGGCUCUAGCUCUCCCAGAGCACGCGCAAUAGAUUAGUGGGUUAAGCUCUUCUAUUCAGCGCCCUGGCUGCAAAAAUCACUUCCAGCAUUUCCUAGGGUCCUUCCUGUGUCUCCUUCACAUCUGUGACAUGGAAAAAGGACAGUGACAGGGACAGUUUCAACAGGGCUCUCUACUCAACAUCUCGUCCCUAUAAACACACUCCUAUACCCUCCUAAAGUCUAGCACCACUUUCUGCAGGCUGGACGUGCCUGAUCCAUCUGGAAGGCUGUCCUUAGCUUUGAACUGUUCCUAUGACAUUUGGGAGGAAGUAGACAGGUUUUUUUUUUUCUUUGAAAGAAGAUCAAGUUCGAAUCUCCAUAUUUGCAAAGUCAUAUACCCUUGGCACCAAGUCAAAGGGACACAGGGAAGAGUUACCACAGUCAAGAGAGCCAGGGGAGGACUACGUGGCAGUGUCUGGGGACAUCUGGGGUUUGUCACGCCUGGGGGAGAGGGUGCAUCCAGUGAGUACAAGCCAAGAAAGCUGCCCAACAUCCUGCAACACAUAGAGCAGUCCCCACCAUGAGGAAUUUUCUAAGCCCAAAUGUCCGGAGCGCCUGUGUUGAGAAACCCUAGGCAAAAAUUAACUGAAGAAGCUGGUAACACCUUUGUCCCAUGUAACCCUUAGCCCCAAAUAAAACAUACCUACUCUUAAGCUACGGGACAGGUGUGGACUUCAUUCCUGACACUCUUCUGUGCACAGGUCCAAGCUGGCUCCCUCAUGCAUUACAGGCAUUCUUAGAUAAAUGUGACCAUUUUCAGGAAAAUCCACCUUUCUUCGGGGAUCCUCUCUCCCAACUCGUGAGCUUUAAAAGUCUGGGGUUCCCAAGUGGGGAAAGAAAUGCCGAUUUCCUUUGCCUAGCAAGCAUCCCAUGCUUUGGCGGUGCAAGACUAAAGAAGGGGAAACUUUGGUAAAAAAAAAAAAAAAAAGAUGGAUGGGUACUGAGAGGUGGUUUUACAAGAUGAGAAUUUAAUGGAGAGAGUGGGUCUUUUACAAGCUGAGCUGUGCUAAGCUAUGCUAUUAAAAUCAGUAAUUCUACAAUUAAAGCCUUCCAUUUCGUGGAAAAUACUUGCUAAACAGAAGAUUAGGGAACAGAUCAGAGAAGGGGAGAGUUACCAAAAUGGAGCUCAAAUAUUUACGAGAAAUUUACAUCUGGGAGGCUUCUCGCUCUUAAUCCCUACUUCCAAGGGGAUAUCCACAAGGAGAACAGAAAGACUAUAAAAAGCAAAGUGUAGUCCUCACCAUCCAUAAGCCUAAGGAAUCUGACUCCCUUUGAGUUUUACGAAAGGAGAAGUCUUUGCAUUUCCACAGAUACUCUGUAUUAUUGCAAAAUAAAGAGACUGAUGCCAAAGGCAACAUCGAAAACGUACCUUCACUAUUCACAAUGAUUUUCCCUUGGCGGGGGGGGGAGUUUGCUUUGCUCAUCCAGUCUUCAGAGAGGAAAACCCAAAACCUGGUGUCUUAAACAAACGUAAUCCCCCCCCGCCCCGCAAAUCUGCAGUGUGGACAGGGUCUUAGGGGGCGGGAUGGGGAGUGACUCAUCUCUGACACCCAGUAUCUGGGGCCUUAACUGGAAUGACACCAGUGGAUGGAAGAGAGCCAAGCAUCUCCUUCUCCAAAAGGCCCUUCUACAUGGUUAGCUUGGGCUUCCUUCAACAUGGCGGCCUCAGGUGGUCAGACCACUCCCAGGGUGGCUGGCUCAAGUGAGAGCAGGUUUUCCAAGACACCUGGGCAGAAGCUGGUACGGCUUUUUAGGACACAGCCUUGGAAGGCCUAUAGAAUCAUUUCUGGCACAUUUCAUUUGUCAGACAAGCGGCUAAGGGCGGCCAGAGGGAGAGGAAUUCAACUCCACCCCUCAACAGGAAGAAUGCCAAAAUCUGCAUUCACCUUUAAACCUGGGCUAAUGUUGAUUCAGCUACUGUAAUAAUGUUCACCAGAAAGGCUGGCUAAAGAAACUGCACAAUCCAAAACACAGAAAAAUAGGCAGCGCCGUGGUAACCUUUGUUACUGUUUGCUUUCCUCAAUUAAAUGACCCACAUUUAAUUAACGGGAUUUUUUUUUUUUCUUCUACCUGUGUCUUAUACUAAUUAUUUCACUUCAUAAUCACUGGCUAAUGUUGGACAUUUAUGCCCUUUUAAGCCUCUAAUGAAAUAUAUAAACUCCAUGGGAAAACUGUUCUCAGGCCAUUUUAUCAGCCAAUAGGUAAGUGGAGAAACAUCUUAAACUCCCCAAAUGCAGAAAACCUCAUUGGAUAUUUGUUGGAAUUGCCUCUAAUUCUAGAACCUGCCACUGCAUUUUAUAACAUAAAUUCUUUGGGUACUCUUCCGUCACUCUUUUAAAAAUCUGUGAGGAGUUCCAGAAAAGAAUGGCUUCUUGAUUCUCAAAUCUGAAAUUCCAGUGACUGCCUUUGCAAUGGCUGCUGCUUCUAGUCAUCUUGAAAUGGAAAUCACAACAAAAGGUUUUUUCCUCCUUCUUUAGGAAGCCACCGAAUACUCUGCACAAAAGCCAGAAAUUCCUGAAAUGCCGAGCAAGGAGGAUGAGGAACAGAAACAGCCAGGGGAUGUGUUUUGCCCUCCUAACUAAAACAAUAGCGAUUUAAGGAGCUAUCAUA
rnacentral:lncRNA from 1 species